CUGGUUGUGUAGCACGUUAGCCGCUUAUGACUGACUAGGAUCAAAAUUUACUUGUCUAAUCAAGCCGAGAGGAUGACCGAACCGUGGCAUCGCUCUCGCUUACCACUAACGCGGCAGCCGGGGACAGAGUCAGGCGCUGCCAGCAGCAGCAGCGGCAGGGAUGCUGGGACACAGAGUCACACGGCCCUCGCCGUCCACACCGCAGGCUCCAGCGCUUGCGGAGUUGGUUCUCCAAGUCGUCCGAGUGGGACGGCAGUCAUCUGACCUGAGAGGGGCUGCCGGAAAGCAUUGGGAACCUUGAGAGGACACCACACACCAGGGAGGUAAAGACAGCGACUGUAAGAGUCUCACUCUGU